AAAAUAUGCUGCUUCCACUGACAAUUGUGGUUACAGUGUAACUUCAACUACUGGACUGUCUUGUUUGAAAUGAAUUGUCAUUGCUGCAUUUUGGAAAACAGUUCUUGAGCCUGAUGGGAGAGGUGCAAGCUUGCAGCACUGUGUGUGUACAUGUCUGCAGUCAGCACGUGACAGUAGAAGAUGUAAAGAUGAAUGACUCCUUGAAUUUCAAGCAACAUGGAAUGUAAAUCAGGGAACUAAUUAGCAGUGCUCGAGCUACAUGAAAUGGAAGUGUUAAGGUGCAACUCAGGACUGUGCAUGGUUAUAGAAAAGACUUGUGGCUUUGGAAUAUCUGCAUGCUCAUCUGUCUGCUUCAGAAACUGCGUGCCACACAGGAUCUGUACUGCUCCAAGAUACGAAUUCACAUCAUGGACCAAGCUUAUCAUAAAAGUUCCUUUGCCCCUGAAAAGCUAGUCUGCUUCAGGACCGCGUGACUCCAGUCAGAAGAGCCGGCAGGAUUUAUCACCCAGCCUGUGUGUACAGUGCUAAUGCAGCAGAGCCCUGAUUCCAGUGGCAGUGGGAGAGUGGCUUUGGGAGAUCUUUCAGAGAACGUGCUGGGGAAGGCACAUUCAUGCAUCUUGGAUUCAGCAAAUCCAAGGAGGGGGAGGCAGAAAGCUGGUUACCCAAGGUAACAUAGUGUGAGUCUGGAAUUACUGGGAUGUGCCAAGUAUGGUCAUUAGAGAUCUCCAAAUCACAAGGAAGGUCACCAGCAGCAAAUGGGUACAGCAAAGCUAAGCUGCUUCCCCCCAAAGCCUCACACAUCCAUCCAGACCUAGUCUGACUGAGUUCCUUGGAAGUGGAUGUAAGUGCCUGCAUGAAUAGAGUGAGCAAGACUUGUCCUUUUGUGAAAUAUUAUUGAUGAUAUUUAUACUCUGGUAACACUCAGGAACAGCUGAGGCCUCAGGAUAUUAGUGCAAACUGUAGAGUAAUUACAGUUUCUGCCUGAAAGAACAAACAACAAUCAGGGUUCUGUUCUGAAAAACAGCAUGCAGAAAUGAUGCUGGUAUCUACAUGGUCUUACUUGGCAAAUCAGGUAUGUAUUCAGAGUCACGUGUGCCAUAUACUUUAGUGACAUAAUAAACACCAAUUACUUCUUUUUCCUACUCUGA